rnacentral:rRNA from 1 species
GAGUUUGAUCAUGGCUCAGGAUGAACGCUAGCGGCAGGCUUAACACAUGCCAGUCGAGGGGUAUAGUAGCAAUACUAGAGACCGGCGCACGGGUGCGUAACGCGUAUGCAAUCUACCUUUUGCAGAGAGAUAGCCCAGAGAAAUUUGGAUUAAUACCUCAUAGUAUAAUUGAAUGGCAUCAUUUAAUUAUUAAAGUCACAACGGCAAAAGAUGAGCAUGCGUCCCAUUAGUUAGUUGGUAAGGUAACGGCUUACCAAGACAACGAUGGGUAGGGGUCCUGAGAGGGAGAUCCCCCACACUGGUACUGAGACACGGACCAGACUCCUACGGGAGGCAGCAGUGAGGAAUACUGGACAAUGGGCGCAAGCCUGAUCCAGCCAUGCCGCGUGCAGGAAGACGGUCCUAUGGAUUGUAAACUGCUUUUGCACAGGAAGAAACAUCCCGACGUGUCGGGACUUGACGGUACUGUGAGAAUAAGGAUCGGCUAACUCCGUGCCAGCAGCCGCGGUAAUACGGAGGAUCCAAGCGUUAUCCGGAAUCAUUGGGUUUAAAGGGUCCGUAGGCGGCUUUAUAAGUCAGUGGUGAAAUCUCCCCGCUCAACGGGGAAACGGCCAUUGAUACUGUAAGGCUUGAAUUAUUAGGAAGUAACUAGAAUAUGUAGUGUAGCGGUGAAAUGCUUAGAGAUUACAUGGAAUACCAAUUGCGAAGGCAGGUUACUACUAAUGGAUUGACGCUGAUGGACGAAAGCGUGGGUAGCGAACAGGAUUAGAUACCCUGGUAGUCCACGCCGUAAACGAUGGAUACUAGCUGUUGGGAGCAAUCUCAGUGGCUAAGCGAAAGUGAUAAGUAUCCCACCUGGGAAGUACGUUCGCAGAAUGAAACUCAA